ACCCCCUGAACUUAAGCAUAUCACUAAGGGGAGGAAAAGAAAAUAACAAUGAUUGCCUCAGUAACGGCGAGUGAAGCGGCAAGAGCCCAAGCUGAUAAUCUCCGGCCUUCGGUCGGCGAAUUGUAAUCUAGAGGCCUGGUCCACACAGGUAAGGCGGAGGCAUAAUUUCCCUGGAAAGGGAAGCCACAGAAGGUGAAAGCCCUGUAUAGCCUCUGCUGAACCUCGAGGACGGGUUGAAGAGUCGGGUUGUUUGGAACUGCAGCCCUAAUCGGGAGAUAAACUUCUUCUAAGGCUAAAUACUUAUGGGAGACCGAUAGCGAACAAGUACUGUGAAGGAAAGAUGAAAAGAACUUUGAAAAGAGAGUUAACAGACCUGAAACCGUUGAGGAGGAAGCUGUAAAAAUUUAUUAUUUGGCAUGGUCUUUAGGAAGUGGCCUAUCCGUCUGCCGCAACGGUACUGUUAAAAGGCCGGAAGGACAGUUCGGGGAAGCUGCUCUGUGGGCUAUGUUGAUAGGCAAAAUGAGGUUGCGUAGUCACAAACGCUUUUCGUCUCGCGGGCUCCGCCCCGGUUCGGAUUUGCCGUGACUACAAUGCCUGAGGGGCUACGGCGAUUUUGCCAAAAUGAUUUUUACCGACCCGUCUUGAAACACGGACCAAGGAGUCUAACAUAUAUGCGAGUUUGGUGGUGGAAAAACCAACAAGCGCGAUGAAAGUAAGCGAUGCCAGCCUUUUGGUGCAGCAUCGGCCGACCAUGAUUCUCCGAAGAAAGGUUUGAGUAUGAGCAUAUCUGUUAGGACCCGAAAGAUGGUGAACUAUGCCUGAGUAGGGUGGAGCCAGGGGAAACUCUGGUGGAGGCCCGUAGCGAUACUGACGUGCAAAUCGUUCGUCAAACUUGGGUAUAGGGGCGAAAGACUAAUCGAACCAUCUAGUAGCUGGUUCCCUCCGAAGUUUCCCUCAGGAUAGCUGGGACAAACAUGCAGUUUUAUUAGGUAAAGCGAAUGAUUAGAGGCAUCUGGGAUGCAAUGUCCUAGACCUAUUCUCAAACUUUAAAUUGGUAAGAACCUUGGGCUUCUUAAGUGAGCUCCAGGGGUAGAAUGCAUGUCCCAAGUGGGCCAUUUUUGGUAAGCAGAACUGGCGAUGAGGGAUGAACCUAACGCUAAGUUAAGGUGCCCAACUGCACGCUCAUCAGAUACCACAAAGGGUGUUGAUUCAUUUAGACAGCAGGACGGUGACCAUGGAAGUCGGGACCCGCUAAGGAGUGUGUAACAACUCAUCUGCCGAAUGAAUUAGCCCCGAAAAUUGAUGGCGCUCAAGCGUGUGACCGAUACUUAGCCAUUGCAGCGAAAGUGCGGCUGCAAUGAGUAGGAGGGCGUGGGCGUUGUUUUGAAGCCUUUGGCGUGAGCCUGGGUAGAACAGCGUCUAGUGCAGAUCUUGGUGGUAGUAGCAAUUAUUCAAAUGAGAACUUUGAAGGCCGAAGUGGAGAAGGUUUCCAUGAGAACAGCAAUUGGUCAUGGGUGACUCGAUCCUAAGACAUUGGGGAACUCCUUGCAAAUGAGCUUCGCUCGCAGUCAAAAGGGAAUGAGGUUAAUAUUCCUCAAGUUGGACGUGGAUAAUGUAUGGCAACAUAAGUGAGCCCAGAAACGUCAGCACGAGCCUCUGGAAGAGUUCUCUUUUCUUUUUAACAGGCUAGCGACCUUGAAAUUGGAUUAUCCAGAGCUAAGGUUGUAUGCUUGGAAGAGCAUCUUGCUUUUUGAGAUGUCAGGUGCGCUCGUGAUGACCCCUGAAAAUCUGGGUGAGAGAUCUAUUCCACGCCAAGUCGUACCAAUAACCGCAUCAGGUCUCCAAGGUU
rnacentral:rRNA from 1 species